AGUGAACGCUGGCGGUAGGCCUAACACAUGCAAGUCGAACGGCAGCACAGGAGAGCUUGCUCUCUGGGUGGCGAGUGGCGGACGGGUGAGGAAUACAUCGGAAUCUACUCUGUCGUGGGGGAUAACGUAGGGAAACUUACGCUAAUACCGCAUACGACCUACGGGUGAAAGCAGGGGACCUUCGGGCCCUGCGCGAUUGAAUGAGCCGAUGUCGGAUUAGCUAGUUGGCGGGGUAAAGGCCCACCAAGGCGACGAUCCGUAGCUGGUCUGAGAGGAUGAGCAGCCACACUGGAACUGAGACACGGUCCAGACUCCUACGGGAGGCAGCAGUGGGGAAUAUUGGACAAUGGGCGCAAGCCUGAUCCAGCCAUACCGCGUGGGUGAAGAAGGCCUUCGGGUUGUAAAGCCCUUUUGUUGGGAAAGAAAUCCAGCUGGCUGAUACCCGGUUGGGAUGACGGUACCCAAAGAAUAAGCACCGGCUAACUUCGUGCCAGCAGCCGCCGUAA
rnacentral:rRNA from 1 species